AGAGUUUGAUCCUGGCUCAGGACGAACGCUGGCGGCGUGCCUAAUACAUGCAAGUAGAACGCUGAAGAGAGGAGCUUGCUCUUCUUGGAUGAGUUGCGAACGGGUGAGUAACGCGUAGGUAACCUGCCUUGUAGCGGGGGAUAACUAUUGGAAACGAUAGCUAAUACCGCAUAACAAUGGAUGACCCAUGUCAUUUAUUUGAAAGGGGCAAAUGCUCCACUACAAGAUGGACCUGCGUUGUAUUAGCUAGUAGGUGAGGUAACGGCUCACCUAGGCGACGAUACAUAGCCGACCUGAGAGGGUGAUCGGCCACACUGGGACUGAGACACGGCCCAGACUCCUACGGGAGGCAGCAGUAGGGAAUCUUCGGCAAUGGGGGCAACCCUGACCGAGCAACGCCGCGUGAGUGAAGAAGGUUUUCGGAUCGUAAAGCUCUGUUGUAAGUCAAGAACGAGUGUGAGAGUGGAAAGUUCACACUGUGACGGUAGCUUACCAGAAAGGGACGGCUAACUACGUGCCAGCAGCCGCGGUAAUACGUAGGUCCCGAGCGUUGUCCGGAUUUAUUGGGCGUAAAGCGAGCGCAGGCGGUUUGAUAAGUCUGAAGUUAAAGGCUGUGGCUCAACCAUAGUUCGCUUUGGAAACUGUCAAACUUGAGUGCAGAAGGGGAGAGUGGAAUUCCAUGUGUAGCGGUGAAAUGCGUAGAUAUAUGGAGGAACACCGGUGGCGAAAGCGGCUCUCUGGUCUGUAACUGACGCUGAGGCUCGAAAGCGUGGGGAGCGAACAGGAUUAGAUACCCUGGUAGUCCACGCCGUAAACGAUGAGUGCUAGGUGUUGGAUCCUUUCCGGGAUUCAGUGCCGCAGCUAACGCAUUAAGCAGUCCGCCUGGGGAGUACGACCGCAAGGUUGAAACUCAAAGGAAUUGACGGGGGCCCGCACAAGCGGUGGAGCAUGUGGUUUAAUUCGAAGCAACGCGAAGAACCUUACCAGGUCUUGACAUCCCGAUGCUAUUUCUAGAGAUAGAAAGUUACUUCGGUACAUCGGUGACAGGUGGUGCAUGGUUGUCGUCAGCUCGUGUCGUGAGAUGUUGGGUUAAGUCCCGCAACGAGCGCAACCCCUAUUGUUAGUUGCCAUCAUUCAGUUGGGCACUCUAGCGAGACUGCCGGUAAUAAACCGGAGGAAGGUGGGGAUGACGUCAAAUCAUCAUGCCCCUUAUGACCUGGGCUACACACGUGCUACAAUGGUUGGUACAACGAGUUGCGAGUCGGUGACGGCAAGCUAAUCUCUUAAAGCCAAUCUCAGUUCGGAUUGUAGGCUGCAACUCGCCUACAUGAAGUUGGAAUCGCUAGUAAUCGCGGAUCAGCACGCCGCGGCGAAUACGUUCCCGGGCCUUGUACACACCGCCCGUCACACCACGAGAGUUUGUAACACCCGAAGUCGGUGAGGUAACCUUUUGGAGCCAGCCGCCUAAGGUGGGAUAGAUGAUUGGGGUGAAGUCGUAACAAGGUA
rnacentral:rRNA from 1 species